rnacentral:rRNA from 1 species
UACGUAGGGUGCAAGCGUUGUCCGGAAUUAUUGGGCGUAAAGAGCUCGUAGGCGGUUUGUCGCGUCUGCUGUGAAAACCCGAGGCUCAACCUCGGGCCUGCAGCCGAUACGGGCAGACUAGAGUUCGGCAGGGGAGACUGGAAUUCCUGGUGUAGCGGUGAAAUGCGCAGAUAUCAGGAGGAACACCGGUGGCGAAGGCGGGUCUGUGGGCCGAUACUGACGCUGAGGAGCGAAAGCGUGGGGAGCGAACAGG